rnacentral:rRNA from 1 species
AACGAACGAGGGAGGCAUGCCUAACACAUGCAAGUCGAACGAGACCUUCGGGUCUAGUGGCGCACGGGUGCGUAACGCGUGGGAACCUGCCCUUAGGUUCGGAAUAACUCCCCGAAAGGGGUGCUAAUACCGGAUAAUGUCUUCGGACCAAAGAUUUAUCGCCUUUGGAUGGGCCCGCGUUGGAUUAGCUAGUUGGUAGGGUAAAAGCCUACCAAGGCGACGAUCCAUAGCUGGUCUGAGAGGAUGAUCAGCCACACUGGGACUGAGACACGGCCCAGACUCCUACGGGAGGCAGCAGUGGGGAAUAUUGGACAAUGGGCGAAAGCCUGAUCCAGCAAUGCCGCGUGAGUGAUGAAGGCCUUAGGGUUGUAAAGCUCUUUUACCCGGGAUGAUACUGACAGUACCGGGAGAAUAAGCGCCGGCUAACUCCGUG